CAAUAGCGUAUAUUAAAGUUGUUGCGGCUAAAAAGCUCGUAGUUGGAUUUCUGCUGAGAACGACCGGUCCGCCCUUUGGGUGUGUAUCUGGCUCUUUCUUGGCAUCUUCUUGGUGAACGUUGCUGCACUUGACUGUGUGGAGCGCUACCCAGGACUUUUACUUUGAGGAAAUUAGAGUGUUUCAAGCAGGCAUACGCCUUGAAUACAUUAGCAUGGAAUAAUAAGAUAGGACCUCGGUUCUAUUUUGUUGGUUUCUAGAGCUGAGGUAAUGAUUAAUAGGGAUAGUUGGGGGCAUUCGUAUUUAACUGUCAGAGGUGAAAUUCUUGGAUUUUUGGAAGACAAGCCACUGCGAAAGCAUUUACCAAGGAUGUUUNCAUUAA
rnacentral:rRNA from 1 species